UGGAGAGUUCCCGUCGUGGCGCAGUGGUUAACGAAUCCGACUAGGAACCACGAGGUUGCGGGUUCGGUCCCUGCCCUUGCUCAGUGGGUUAAGGAUCCGGCGUUGCCAUGAGCUGUGGUGCAGGUUGCAGACGCGGCUCGGAUCCUGCGUUGCUGUGGCUCUGGUGUAGGCUGGUGGCUACAGCUCCGAUUCGGCCCCUAGCCUGGGAAUCUCCAUAUGCCGCGGGAGCGGCCCAAGAAAAAGCAAAAAAAAAAAAAAAAGACAAAAUAAAUAAAUAAAUAAAAUAAAAAGUUUUAUUGGGAUUUAGCUGAUUUUCAGUGUUGUAUUAGCUUCAGAUUUACAGCCAAAUGAACCGGUUAUAGACAUAGCCAUUCUUUUUUUGUUUUUGUCUUUUUUGGGUGGAGGGGAGCAACCUACGGCAUAUGGAGGUUCCCAGGCUAGGGAUCGAAUCAGAGCCACAGCUGCUGGCCUACACCACAGGCACAGCAACACUGGAUCCGAGCUGCGUCCAUGACCUACACCACAGCUCACAGCAGCAUCAGGUCCUUAACCCACUGAUUGAGGCCAGGGAUCGAACCAUGUCGGAUACUAGUCGGAUUUGUUAACCUCUGAGCCACGAUGGGAACUCCAGCAUAUCCGUUCUUUUGUCCCAUGUGGGUUGUUACAGAACGUUGAGUAGACCUCCCUGUGCUGUGCAGUAAGUCCUUGUGGUUACCUGCGUCACAUACACCAGUGUGUGUGUGCCCGUCCCACCCUCCCAGCUUAUCCCUCCUCCCCGGCCCCCACGGUUUAGUGUGUUCUCUGGUAACUGUGAUUCUGAAAUCUUUGUUUCUGUCUCAUAAAUGGGCCCUUUUGUGUCAUUUUUUAUUAGAUUCCACACAUAAGUGGUAUCAUAUGAUUUUGUGUUAGUCUGAUGGACUUCAUUAGUAUAGUGAUAGGUUACUUUGUUCUUGCGGCAGGUACAAGCUUGUAGUUCCCAAUUGGUGGUAAAAUUUGGCCUUGAUAUUUAACUAGUAUAAUUAUUAAUGGGAGAAUAUUAAUUGUGGGUUUUAAUUUUUUUAGGUAAAAUUUCCCUCUUUCACCUUCCUCCCUCUCAUGAAUAUUGUUCUGAGGUCAUGAGAAGAUUCUUAAAGAAUCUCAUUAAUUAGUCCGAAGAGUGGGUUAGUCCCAGGAGAAGACAGAACUCCCCUCCUGCCGGCAUUGAGAGCAGGACUGCGGAGGAAGACGGACAGGUUAUCAGCUGGGCACUGCGUGGGGGGAUGCUUCUGAGGCUCACCCAGGCAACCAGCGUCCAGAAGACAGUGGGCUCUGUGCUUGUCUUUACUGCCUCCGAAUGCAGGAUCCAUUCUUUCCGAGAUAUCUAAAGUUGUAAACCGGGAUUGUUCUUCAAAUAUUCCGCAGCUGAAAUUGAUUCAUACACAGUCAUCAUUAUUAAUUUGCUAAUCCACUGGAGUUAAACGUCUGUCUGUAGUACCACAUUUCAGGUGUUUCCAAGGAAGAACAAAGGAACAGCCCCUUCUUUUAAAAAGGUUUACUAUAGAGUCUUUCUUUCUUCAGAGCAGAUAGUGUCUGAGUUUUAUCUAAAGCAGUCGUUUUUGCAAGUUCCCUGGUGGUGCAGCAGGUUAAGGAUCCCGCAUUAUCACUGCUGUAGCUCUGGUUUCAGCUGCGGCUCGGGUUUGAUCCCUGACCCGGGAAUUUCCACAUGCCUCAGGCAAGGCCGGAAAAAAGAAAACAGAGCAGUGGUUUUCUUUUUCUUUUCAGGGCCACACCUGUGACAUAUGGACAUUCCCAGGCUAGGGGUCGAAUCAGAGCUACAGCACAGCUACACCUACACCACAGCUCACAGCACUGCCAGAUCCUUAACACACCGAGCAAAGUGAGGGAUUGAACCAGCAUCCUCAUGGAUUAAAAUCAGGUUCUUAACCCACUGAGCCACAGUGAGAACUCCCAGAGCAGUGGCUUUCAAUUCUGCCCCCAUGGAACACUGGGGACACUUGGCAAUGUCUGAAGACAUUUUUGGUAUCACAACUGGCGGGGGUGCUCCUGGCAUUUAGUGAGUAGAGGGCAGACAUGCUGCUAAGCAGCCCCCCACCCCUGCCCCACAAGGAAUCACCGAGCCCCAAUGUCAAUAAUGUCUCUUCUGCUUACCUAGGCAGAAGGCAUGCUUCAGUCACUGGCUGGGAAGGGCCAGCUCCACCUGAUUUCAAGUGCUACUUAUUUGAGCAUUUUGAAAGGCAAUGUUAGCAUGCCCUGCCAACAGACUGGAACACAUUUAGGCAAAAGUACUUUUCCUUUUUCAGAGAACCAAAGUGGUUCCCUGGAAUUUUUGCAAACCUGUAGAACAUGCCUGUGGUCCAGUUUAAGAAAUCUAAGUUGUCCUUGGGUUAGUGAUUGGUGUCACAACUUAGGAGCAUCCAGCUUAGUAAAUGCAGCUACCUUCCCACAGCAAGAGGAGAAAGAGAAGGGAUGGGGAGACCUGCCGCCCACCAAGGAUUCUGGCAAAAAUAAUUUUUUUUUUUAUUCUGAUGCUCAACUGAAGAUUGAGCCUUUGAGAAUAAUUCUAUAAUAGUUUUCAUCUUUCCCAGAGACACCAAAAGCUUUGCAUAAAGCUUCUAUAGGCUCCUUAAUUCAGAUUUGCCUAAAGAAUUUAUCUUGAUUUAUGUCCAAGAAAUACCCAUGUGUUCUAAUAAACUUCUUGGCUUGAGUGAAUUUGAGCUUCAAUAAUGGCAUAUUGAUUUUCUUCUCCGGAGUGCUAUGUGUUUCUGAGAAGCAAGCAAAAGCUAAGCAUCAUUCAAUAGAAGAGGCCUGUGGACAGAUCAUGGAAUCUGGAAGGAAAACACUUUUUUAUGUUUUCUAUACAUAGCCUACAUAUACAGAAUAGAGUAUUAAUCAUAAAAAAAAAUGAAAUAGAAGUUCCCAUCGUGGCUCAGCGGUUAACAAAUCCAACUAGGAACCAUGAGGUUGCAGGUUCAAUCCCUGGCCUGGCUCAGUGGGUUAAGGAUCCGGCAUUGCCGUGAGCUGUGGUGUAAGUCACAGACACAGCUCGGAUCCUGCGUUGCUGUGGCUGUGCUAUAGGCCGGCAGCUGUAGCUCCGAUUAGACCCCUAGCCUGGGAACCUCCAUAUGCCUCGGGUGGGGCCCUAGAAUAUACCAAAAAAAAAAAAAAAAAUGAAUGAAUGAAAUAAUGCCAUUUGCAGCAACAUGUGUGAACCUAGAGGUUAUCAUGCUAAGUCAAGAAAGACAAAUAUGGAGUUCCCGUCAUGGCUCAGUGGUUAACGAAUCUGACUAGGAACCAUGAGGUUGCGGGUUUGAU
rnacentral:lncRNA from 1 species